rnacentral:rRNA from 1 species
GAUGAACGCUGGCGGCGUGCCUAAUACAUGCAAGUCGAGCGAACAGAUGAGGAGCUUGCUCCUCUGACGUUAGCGGCGGACGGGUGAGUAACACGUGGAUAACCUACCUAUAAGACUGGGAUAACUUCGGGAAACCGGAGCUAAUACCGGAUAAUAUAUUGAACCGCAUGGUUCAAUAGUGAAAGACGGUUUUGCUGUCACUUAUAGAUGGAUCCGCGCCGCAUUAGCUAGUUGGUAAGGUAACGGCUUACCAAGGCAACGAUGCGUAGCCGACCUGAGAGGGGGAUAGGCCACACUGGAACUGAGACAAGGUCCAGACUCCUACGGGAGGCAGCAGUAGGGAAUCUUCCGCAAUGGGCGAAAGCCUGACGGAGAAACGCCGCGUGAGUGAUGAAGGUCUUCGGAUCGUAAAACUCUGUUAUUAGGGAAGAACAAAUGUGUAAGUAACUAUGCACGUCUUGACGGUACCUAAUCAGAAAGCCACGGCUAACUACGUG